rnacentral:rRNA from 1 species
UGGCGGACGGGCGAGUAAUGUCUGGGAAACUGCCUGAUGGAGGGGGGAGUAACUACUGGAAACGGUAGCUAAUACCGCAUAACGUCACAAGACCAAAGAGGGGGACCUUCGGGCCUCUUGCCAUCGGAUGUGCCCAGAUGGGAUUAGCUAGUAGGUGGGGUAACGGCUCACCUAGGCGACGAUCCCUAGCUGGUCUGAGAGGAUGACCAGCCACACUGGAACUGAGACACGGUCCAGACUCCUACGGGAGGCAGCAUG